GCGCGCAUAGCUCAGUGGUUAGAGCACUGCAUUCACAUUGCAGGGGUCUCUGGUUCGAAUCCAGAUGCGCGCA
rnacentral:tRNA from 1 species